rnacentral:rRNA from 1 species
AUUGAACGCUGGCGGAAUGCUUUACACAUGCAAGUCGAACGGGAUUUCGGGUAGCAAUAUCUGCAUGAGAGUGGCGCACGGGUGCGUAACACGUAUGCAAUCUGCCUCUGACUGGGGAAUAGCCUUCCGAACGGAAGAUUAACACCGCAUAAAAUAAUGAAGUGGCAUCACUUUAUUAUCAAAACUCCGGUGGUCAGAGAUGAGCAUGCGUCCGAUUAGCUAGUUGGUGAGGUAACGGCUCACCAAGGCGACGAUCGGUAGGGGGUCUGAGUGCAUUGUCCCCCACACGGGUACUCGGCCACGGAGCAGAAUACUACGGGAGGCAGCAGUAAGGAAUAUUGGACAGUGGUCGGAAUGUUGAACCAGCCAUGCCGCGUGAAGGAUGAAUGCCGUAUUGGUUGUAAACUCCUUUUGAACGAGAAAAAGCCCCUCUACGUGUAGAGUGCUGAUGGUACCGUAAGAAUAAGGAUCGGCUAACUUCGUGCCAGCAGCCGCCGUAA